rnacentral:rRNA from 1 species
ACUGGGGGAUAACACUUAGAAAUAGGUGCUAAUACCGCAUAAGCGCACAGUACCGCAUGGUACCGUGUGAAAAACUCCGGUGGUGUAGGAUGGACCCGCGUCUGAUUAGGCCUAAGUUGGUGAGGUAAACGGGCCCACCAAGGCGACGAUCAGUAGCCGGCCUGAGAGGGUGACCGGCCACAUUGGGACUGAGACACGGCCCAAACUCCUACGGGAGGCAGCAGUGGGGAAUAUUGCGCAAUGGGGGCAACCCUGACGCAGCAACGCCGCGUUAAGGAUGAAGGCUUUCGGGUUGUAAACUUAUGUCGGGUGGGAAGAUAAUGACGGUACCACCGGAGAAAGUCACGGCUAACUACGUG